rnacentral:rRNA from 1 species
UACCAGCUCUCCGAGUGGUGUGGAUGUUUAUUGGGCCUAAAGCAUCCGUAGCUGGCUGGACAAGUCCCCUGUUAAAUCCACCGAUUUAAUCGUUGGUGUGCGGGGGAUACUGUUCGGCUAGGGGACGGGAGAGGCCGACGGUAUUUCCGGGGUAGGGGUGAAAUCCUAUAAUCCCGGGAAGACCACCAGUGGCGAAGGCUGUCGGCUAGAGCGCGCCCGACGGUGAGGGAUGAAAGCUGGGGGAGCGAACCGGAUUAGAUACCCGGGUAGUCCCAGCUGUAAACGAUGCAGGCUAGGUGUUUGGGCGGCCACGUGCCGCUCUAGUGCCGCAAGGAAGCUGUUAAGCCUGCCGCCUGGGGAGUACGGCCGCAAGGCUGAAACUUAAAGGAAUUGGCGGGGGAGCACCACAAGGGGUGAAGCUUGCGGUUU